GGGUGAUUUGGCUGCAACAUCUGUCACCUCAUUGAUCACCAGGGUUGAUUCCACUGAUCUGGCUGGCUAGGCAGUAUCCUGCUCCUUGUCCAUCCCUCUUGAACCUGCUCACUCAAAGAGGAGUGAGUCCUCCCAUAGAGGGGGACUGGCCUUUGGUCAAGGUAUAGAAGUAGCUGUGCUCCCCUGCUAGAAUCCCCAAAACAAGCUCUUAAUGAUUUUUCUACCUGAGUGAACUUUGACCAACCCAUCUUUGGGCACAUGGAAGUGGUCAUGAGAUUUAAGAAGAAACUAUACUAU
ensembl:misc_RNA 7SK 7SK RNA